UUCUACUGAUGGGAGUAAGUACUCUAGUU
rnacentral:piRNA from 1 species